rnacentral:rRNA from 1 species
GUGCCAGCAGCCGCGGUAAUACGGAGGGUGCAAGCGUUAAUCGGAAUUACUGGGCGUAAAGCGCAUGCAGGUGGUUCAUUAAGUCAGAUGUGAAAGCCCGGGGCUCAACCUCGGAACCGCAUUUGAAACUGGUGAACUAGAGUGCUGUAGAGGGGGGUAGAAUUUCAGGUGUAGCGGUGAAAUGCGUAGAGAUCUGAAGGAAUACCAGUGGCGAAGGCGGCCCCCUGGACAGACACUGACACUCAGAUGCGAAAGCGUGGGGAGCAAACAGGAUUAGAAACCCCUGUAGUCC